UUACGGAAGGCAGCAGUAAGGAAUAUUGCGCAAUGGGCGAAAGCCAGACGCAGCAACGCCGCGUGGACGAUGAAGGCCUUCGGGUCGUAAAGUCCUUUUCAGGGGGACGAGCAGGGACGGUACCCCUGGAAUAAGUCACGGCUAACUACGUGCCAGCAGCCGCGGUAAAACGUAGGUGGCGAGCGUUAUCCGGAUUCACUGGGCGUAAAGGGCCUGCAGGCGGCUCGGUAAGUGGGAUGUGAAAUCUCCCGGCUCAACUGGGAGGGGUCACUCCAUACUGCCGGGCUGGAGGGCAGAAGAGGGAAGUGGAAUUCCCGGUGUAGUGGUGAAAUGCGUAGAUAUCGGGAGGAACACCAGUGGCGAAGGCGACUUCCUGGUCUGCACCUGACGCUAAGAGGCGAAAGCUAGGGGAGCGAAGGGGAUUAGAUACCCGGGUAU
rnacentral:rRNA from 1 species